UAGUCAUAUGCUUGUCUCAAAGAUUAAGCCAUGCAUGUCUAAGUGUAAACAAAUUUAUACUGUGAAACUGCGAAUGGCUCAUUAAAUCAGUUAUAGUUUAUUUGAUAUUGACUUACUACUUGGAUAACCGUGGUAAUUCUGCAGCUAAUACAUGCGUUAAACCCCGACUUCUGGAAGGGGCGUACUUAUUAGAUUUAAGCCAACCCGCGCAAGCGGUUUAUGGUUGAUUCAUGAUAAUUUUUCGAAUCGUAUGGCUUCACGCCGACGAUGGUUCAUU
rnacentral:rRNA from 1 species